AGUUAAAAAGCUCGUAGUUGGAUUUCGGGAUGGGCCAGUCGGUCCGCCUAACGGUGUGUUUACUGGCUGGUCUGUUCUUCUUCGCAAAGACUGCGUGUGCACUUUACUGUGUGUGCGUAGGAUUUACGACGUUUACUUUGAAAAAAUUAGAGUGUUCAAAGCAGGCAUACCGCUUGAAUACAUGAGCAUGGAAUAAUGGAAUAGGACUUUGGUCUUAUUUUGUUGGUUUCUGAGACCGAGGUAAUAAUUAAGAGGGACAGUUGGGGGCAUUCGUAUUUCGUUGUCAGAGGUGAAAUUCUUGGAUUUACGAAAGACGAACAAUUGCGAAAGCAUUUGCCAAGAAUGUUUUCAUUAAUCAAGAACGAAAGUUAGAGGAUCGAAGACGAUCAGAUACCGUCCUAGUUCUAACCAUAAACGAUGUCGACUAGGGAUCAGCGAACGUCUAAUGCGACUUCGUUGGCACCUUACGGGAAACCAAAGUUUUUGGAUUCCGGGGGAAGUAUGGUUGCAAAACUGAAACUUAAAGGAAUUGACGGAAGGGCACCACCAGGAGUGGAGCCUGCGGCUUAAUUUGACUCAACACGGGAAAUCUCACCAGGCCCGGACACUGGAAGGAUUGACAGAUUG
rnacentral:rRNA from 1 species